UGAGGCUCUGGCUUGAUGAAAAAGAAUAUGAAAAGUAUUCACUCAUAAAUCGUCCUGUAUAGGGAGUUCAUUCCAAGUGCCCAAAACCAGUAUGAUAAUUUUGGUGAGGAAGUUUAAUAAGGCUUAAUAGUAAUCUCUAAAAGAAAAACCAUUAUGCAAACAGUUCGUAUAAGAAGGAAUUACGAUGCCUAGCUCGGGCUUUGGACAACUGCCAAUAUAUUGUUUUUUUCUGGUAGCUGUUUACAGAGAGCACAGUGUGCACAUGCCUCAAGUCAGGACAAAAUUGAUGGGCUGACCGAUUCGCCCGUAAUUUCUAUACGCAAAGUUGGGGGUGGGAAGGUGGAACAGACUCACCUCUGGGAAGGCGAUGCCUCGAGCUCCCUGUGUGCCGUAGCCGUGGCCUGAUGUGCCACCAAAGCCAGGGAGCAUAGAGAGAGGAUCAGAGGAGAAAGCUGACGCAGGCUCCACUGCAUUGUUUUUUCCAUAUGUAAAUGUUUGCUAUAGAUUAGCUGCAAAGAAAAGCUUUAGGCUUCGGGACUGCUAGAAGGAGGACGGAGCCCACCUGGCUCCAAAAUGCUGUGGUAAAUCAUUGACGACGGCCCAGAUCAAAUCACAAAGAAUCAGGACACAUCCCGGAGGCCUUUGACCUUUUGGAAACAAAUUCCCGGUUUUCUGGCAAGGGAAUAUAUUAAACUGUGCAACUGUUUCCACAUUAAAGUCAAUCAAGUCCUAUUGCAGCAGUGUAUUUCAUGUCCAGCCUGCUCUCUCCUUUUAAUUUGAAGGAGGAGAAAACUCAUUUUAUUUCCCAUAGUGACUUAACUGCAAUUUUGGUGCAUCUGGGCACUUACCAGGGAAAAGCUUCCCAGUACAGCAAAUUAAAGAUUAUUACAAACUUCUGUUAUGAGGAACUUGUACCUCCCAGAUACGUCAAGGAAAUGUCAGUUCAGCCUCUUCCCACUGCCAUCCCCAUGAGUCAGUGUCCCAUCUCCAAAGCUGAGGAAGGUGUGACUGACAUCAGAGCUCUACGAGCAAAAUUUCAAAAUGACUCUAACUUGGCCAACAAGCUGGUGCAGCCACGCAAGAAGCUUCCUCCUAAGAUUGCACCCAAGCCGGGCUCUAGAGGAAACGUUGUGUCCAGCCCUCUGCCUCUGAGUAAGAGAGAAGUGAUAACACCAAAACCCAAGGAUGAACCUGUCCAUCCUGCCUCCCAACCCUCUGCACUCACCCAAUGCAACCCCUUGGCAUGGCCUCGAGCCAAGCUGGGUUACAUGGAGCCAACGGAGCACAAUGAAGAGCAGAAAGGCAACAACUCGGAGAAAGGGCUGAGUUCUCCCAAGAGUGGUCCAGAGAAGCCUCUGCCAUCCUAUUGCAUUGAUUGGCAAGGAUCAGCCCAAACAGCCCCAGAGGAUCCUUCGCCCCCAAAUUCUUUCCAGCAUGCCCUAAAGAUCUGGGAAAAUGCUUUAUCCUGUGGCGAGAAAGCAAAUUUAAUACUCCCAACCCAACGGGCAACAAACUUGUAUGUGCACCCUUGCCCGGAGCAGAGGGCGAUGCGUGCUCCAACUGCGUCGGGUGGCAGGACUCAACCCUCUGGAAGCAAGCCCAUGCUGGACUUGCCUGCCCAGAAGAAGGAUGCUCUGCAUGGCCAUGGGCUGUCUCUUCCUCAGGCAUCCAGAGGACACAGAGGCUCUGAUGGAGCUGCUCCUGAGAUCGCGGUGGCAACUGCAUUCUGCCAGCUGGGUUAUGUCCCACCAAGAAAGCAACCUCAGCACCAGAAAGAAUCGGAGCCUCCCUUCUGCCAGCCUGGAGCAGGAAAUUGGUCUUACAGCCCCGGCAGCAAGUGGCCAAGAGUUAAACUUCUCCCUUCAGUUGAAUCCCUGGGUCCAGCCCCUGAGAAGCCAGCAAGACCCCCAAAGUUUGAUCUCAGUGCCUUCCGAAGCACCAUGCUUUCAGUCCACAGAGGAAAUGAAACAACUGCUGAUGAAGAGGAUUACUUGACUCCUGAAAGUGCUCAACUUGAAGAGCAGCAUAAUUAUGAAGAAACCUCAGUGUACCUGAAUCAGCCUGGGGACGCCAAAACCUUGUGUGUCAUUGAAGUACCGAAGGAAGAGCCUGAAGAAUACAAGAAACAGAAGACUUUUUUCUUUGCCAAAUCCAGUCCUGGAAGAACUAUAAUAGAGGAUGAAAAAGAGGAAAAAACAAGUCUUGAAAGAGAGAAACAUGAAGGAAAAAAAUUUUUUGAAGUAUGGUAUCCUUGA
rnacentral:lncRNA from 1 species